GGGAGCGCAACCCUUGUUACUAGUUGCCAGCAUUAAGUUGGGCACUCUAGUGAGACUGCCGGUGACAAACCGGAGGAAGGUGGGGACGACGUCAGAUCAUCAUGCCCCUUAUGACCUGGGCUACACACGUGCUACAAUGGACGGUACAACGAGUCGCGAACUCGCGAGGGCAAGCAAAUCUCUUAAAACCGUUCUCAGUUCGGACUGUAGGCUGCAACUCGCCGGCACGA
rnacentral:rRNA from 1 species